rnacentral:rRNA from 1 species
GAGUUUGAUUAUGGCUCAGGAUGAACGCUGACAGAAUGCUUAACACAUGCAAGUCAACUUGAACGUGGGUUUUUAACUUAGGUUUGGGUGGCGGACGGGUGAGUAACGCGUAAAGAACUUGCCUCACAGAUAGGGACAACAUUUAGAAAUGAAUGCUAAUACCUAAUAUUAUGAAAAUAGGGCAUCCUAUAAUUAUGAAAGCUAAAUGCGCUGUGAGAGAGCUUUGCGUCCCAUUAGCUAGUUGGAGAGGUAACGGCUCACCAAGGCGAUGAUGGGUAGCCGGCCUGAGAGGGUGAACGGCCACAAGGGGACUGAGACACGGCCCUUACUCCUACGGGAGGCAGCAGUGGGGAAUAUUGGACAAUGGACCAAGAGUCUGAUCCAGCAAUUCUGUGUGCACGAUGAAGUUUUUCGGAAUGUAAAGUGCUUUCAGUUGGGAAGAAAAGAAUGACG